UGGGGAAUAUUGCACAAUGGGCGCAAGCCUGAUGCAGCGACGCCGCGUGAAGGAUGAAGGUCUUCGGAUCGUAAACUUCUAUCAGCAGGGAAGAAACCAUGACGGUACCUGACUAAGAAGCCCCGGCUAACUACGUGCCAGCAGCCGCGGUAAUACGUAGGGGGCAAGCGUUAUCCGGAAUUACUGGGUGUAAAGGGUGCGUAGGCGGCGAUUUAAGUCAGAUGUGAAAACUCAGGGCUCAACCUUGAGACUGCAUCUGAAACUGAGUUGCUAGAGUGCAGGAGAGGAAAGCGGAAUUCCGAGUGUAGCGGUGAAAUGCGUAGAGAUUCGGAGGAACACCAGUAGCGAAGGCGGUUUUCUGGACUGUAACUGACGCUGAGGCACGAAAGCGUGGGGAGCGAACA
rnacentral:rRNA from 1 species